ACACUGGUGGUGAAACGGUAUCAUGCUUGCCUUCCAGUUAACGCGUAGCAAGCGGCACGGGUUCGACUCCCGUCCAGUGUA